GGGGGUUUUCCACCUCCCCGCACAGCCAACGCGGUCAUUCGGCGCACCAAGCAAGGGCAUCUGCCUUUCGAAUUCUGUACCAUGUACAAACUGUACACAAGUAACUUUUUCUUGUUUUGCUUUUUAGGGCCGCACCCGCGGCACAUGGAGGUUCCCAGGCCAGGGGUCGAAUCAGAGCUACAGCUGCUGGCCACAGUCACAGCCAUAGCCACAUCAGAUCCAAGCUGCGUCUGUGACCUACACCGCGGCUCACGGCAACACCGGAUCCUUAAUCCACCGAGUGGGGGCAGGGAUCGAACCUGUGUCCUCAUGGAUACUAGUUGGCCUUGUUACCGCUGAGCCACAGUGGGAACUCUGGACAAGUAACUGCUUCAAAGAGACUUUCUUCUUAGGAUCUCACCUUUGCUGCAAAGAAAAACCCAAACAGGCUUUGUGAUUUUAGCCUGUUGUCCCCCCUCCCAGCAGCCUCUCAAGGGUUUAUUUUUGAGAUUCAUUUUUCCCCGAGUAGGAAUCAUGCCUUAGAAAACAAGUCAUUAUCAUGCGUUUGUGUUUUAAAUGACCUGGUGUUCUCACUCUGCUCCGUUUAUAAUAUCUUCCGUUCAUUCAUUCCACAAACAGAUGCUCUCCGCCAUCUACAGAGCAUCCUGUUGUGCUGGAGCCAGAAGGGCCGGUUUCGUGGGAGAGCUGGAAACGGACCUGGAACCUCAAGGUUGGGAGAGGGGGAACUCGGGUGAGGACCAAGGGCAGGGCAGGUAGAAAGUGGGCCCGGAAAUUAACACGCACCCUCCGGUCAAUCAACAAGCACUUCCACGUGGUUCAGGCCCCCUGCUCGGCUCUGGCCUGGAGCCGCAAGCAGGUACAGGUGAUUCCAAUAGCGUGAGCGUGGGAGAAACGCGGGCGUCUAAGGGAAGGGCUCUGGCUCGGAGACGAGGCAGGGCUGCCAGGAAGAGAGUGACAUUGCAGCCGAGACGGGAAGAAGGUGUGGGUGAUGGCUUCAAGCAAAGGGAAUGUCCGUUUUGACAUCCCCACGUCAAGGGAGGGGCUGCUCCCCCCAGGCCCGCAGGAGGAAGCCUCAGCUGGGAGCCAGCCCAACACCUCUGACACCGGCCGCCCUGCCUUUGGGCGAAGAGGGAGCCGGCCUCGGGCGCGGAGGCUUCCGCAGGCGCCGGUGUCCAGCUGGGAUUUGCUCACACGUCCUUGCACUGGUGUUUAUGGCAGCCCUCCGUUGACGGAGCCGAAGCCACGAAGAUGUUCCGUGUGGUGUUAUUUACAGCAGGAGGGGAGAAUCGGAAAUAACACAGGGGUCGGCAAUGACUGGACUGUUAAAAUAACUCCCACCACUUCCUUCAUUGGCGUGAACACUGAGGACUAUCAGGUCCCAAGAGAACCAAGGUUUUUUCCUCUUGUUGAAAGAAGAAUCCCUCAGCCCCGAAAAUAACGGCCAGCAUAUAAAGGUGUUUGGUAUGUAUUCUGGGGAUGAAUGAAUAAAUAAUGCUGUGAAAUUAAUUUCCAAGCCCAUCCUUAAGAAGUGUCAUCGAAGGAGCUCCCGUUCAGGCUCAGCAGAAACGAAUCUGACUAGGAACCACGAGGUUGCGGGUUCGAUCCCUGGCCUUGCUCAGUGGGUUACGGAUCUGGCAUUGCCGUGAGCUGUGGUGUAGGUUGCACAUGGCUCGGAUCCCAAGUUACUAUGGCUCUGGCGUAGGCCGGCAGCAACAGCUCCGAUUCGACCCCUAUCCCGGGAAUCUCCAUAUGCCGCAAGCGCAGCCCUAAAAGACAAAAAAAAAAAAAAAAAAAGAAAUGCCGUCUGACCUUGGGAGUGGAUAAGCAAUGAGGUCCUGCUGCAUAGCACAGGGAGCUCUGUCCAGUCACUUGUGAUGGACAUGACGGAGGAUAAAGUGAGAAAAAGAAAAUGUGUGUGUGUAUAAAUGUAUGACUGGCUCACUUUGCUGCACGGUAGAAAUUGACGGAACACUGUAAAUCACCUGUAACGGAAAAAAUAAAAAUCAUUAAAAAAAAAGAAAUGCCCUCUGGCUGUUGUUUUGCUCUGUGGAGUUCGGAGCGGACCCAAAGGAGCGGUGGUUUUGAGAGGCUGUGCUGGGGGAGCAGGAAAGUCAGAGCCUGGGAGGAACGGGCUCUGCCGCUGGGCGUUGGAGAGUGUUUGCUGGAUGGGAAGCCGUGAAAUUCCCGCUUCCGUGGCUCUCAGAGUCUUCGGGGUGACACGCGGCGCCUGCCGGUUCUUCGGGAUCGGGUGUGCUUUGAGGAGGGAAACGAGGCGCGGAGAUGGGCCUCCGUCGGGGGGUCCCCGGGCAUCCAGGCACAUCUGAGCAGCCUAAUGGGGGCGACAGCGUCGAGACGUGGGGACGUGGUUAGGACACCUUGUUAAAGACCAGACGGGGCGCACCGGCCACCCCGCGCUGAUCGGAAUAGAAAAACAUCUGUUGGGUCGCAACGGCGGGAUGAAGGGGUGUAUUUUUCCCUCUCGAAAUGCACGCUUUACCCUGUCGUUCUUGAACAGGUACUGUUGGCGAAACUGAAAAUAGUGCCAACUGCGCC
rnacentral:lncRNA from 9 species